rnacentral:snoRNA from 1 species
AGAGCUUUGUGUUGUUUGUUUAACUUGUGGACAAAGACUUAAAGAUAGGCAUAAAAAGUUCACUCCGUUUUGCAUCUUAGAAGUCAUUACUCAGUAUGAGUUUUGAUAGAUAAAGGAGGAAUAUU